GACGAACGCUGGCGGCGUGCUUAACACAUGCAAGUCGAACGGAAAGGCCCUGCUUUUGUGGGGUGCUCGAGUGGCGAACGGGUGAGUAACACGUGAGUAACCUGCCCUUGACUUUGGGAUAACUUCAGGAAACUGGGGCUAAUACCGGAUAGGAGCUCCUGCUGCAUGGUGGGGGUUGGAAAGUUUCGGCGGGUGGGGAUGGACUCGCGGCUUAUCAGCUUGUUGGUGGGGUAGUGGCUUACCAAGGCUUUGACGGGUAGCCGGUCUGAGAGGGUGACCGGCCACAUUGGGACUGAGAUACGGCCCAGACUCCUACGGGAGGCAGCAGUGGGGAAUAUUGCACAAUGGGCGGAAGCCUGAUGCAGCAACGCCGCGUGCGGGAUGACGGCCUUCGGGUUGUAAACCGCUUUCGCCUGUGACGAAGCGUGAGUGACGGUAAUGGGUAAAGGAGCACCGGCUAACUACGUG
rnacentral:rRNA from 1 species